rnacentral:pre_miRNA from 1 species
CUCGUACUCCCUCCGUUCGGAAUUACUUGUCUCAAAAAUGGAUGUAUCUAGAACUAAAAUACGUCUAGAUACAUCCAUUUCUGCGACAAGUAAUUCCGAACGGAGGGAGUACUUU